AUUGAACGCUGGCGGCAGGCCUAACACAUGCAAGUCGAACGAGUGGCGGACGGGUGAGUAAUGUCUGGGAAACUGCCCGAUGGAGGGGGAUAACUACUGGAAACGGUAGCUAAUACCGCAUACCAUCGGAUGUGCCCAGAUGGGAUUAGCUUGUGGGUGAGGUAACGGCUCACCUAGGCGAAGAGCCCUAGCUGGUGUGAGAGGAUGACCAGCCAAACUGGAACUGGGACACGGUCAGGACUCCUACGGGAGGCAGCAGGGGGGAAGAUUGCACAAGGGGCGCAGGCCUGAGACAGCCAUGCCGCGUGUAUGAAGAAGGCCUUCGGGUUGUAAAGUACUUUCAGCGGGGAGGCGUUACCAACAGAAUAAGCACCGGCUAACUUCGUGCCAGCCGCCGCGGUAAUAC
rnacentral:rRNA from 1 species